rnacentral:rRNA from 1 species
UACGGGGGGGGCAAGCGUUGUUCGGAAUUACUGGGCGUAAAGGGCUCGUAGGCGGCCAACUAAGUCCGACGUGAAAUCCCAAGGCUUAACCUUGGAACUGCGUCGGAUACUGGAUGGCUUGAAUUCGGGAGAGGGAUGCAGAAUUCCAGGUGUAGCGGUGAAAUGCGUAGAUAUCUGGAGGAAUACCGGUGGCAAAGGCGGCAUCCUGGACCGACAUUGACGCUGAGGAGCGAAAGCUAGGGGAGCAAACGGG